rnacentral:rRNA from 1 species
AUUGAACGCUGGCGGCAUGCUUUACACAUGCAAGUCGAACGGUAACAGGUCUUCGGAUGCUGACGAGUGGCGAACGGGUGAGUAACACAUCGGAACGUGCCUAGUAGUGGGGGAUAACUACUCGAAAGAGUAGCUAAUACCGCAUGAGAUCUAAGGAUGAAAGCAGGGGACCUUCGGGCCUUGCGCUACUAGAGCGGCUGAUGGCAGAUUAGGUAGUUGGUGGGAUAAAAGCUUACCAAGCCGACGAUCUGUAGCUGGUCUGAGAGGACGACCAGCCACACUGGGACUGAGACACGGCCCAGACUCCUACGGGAGGCAGCAGUGGGGAAUUUUGGACAAUGGGCGAAAGCCUGAUCCAGCAAUGCCGCGUGUAGGAUGAAGGCCCUCGGGUUGUAAACUACUUUUGUACGGAACGAAAAGCUCUCUUCUAAUAAAGGAGAGUGAUGACGGUACCGUAAGAAUAAGCACCGGCUAACUACGUG